UUCGCUCUCUCCGACUCUCCCUCUCUCGCCUCUCUAUCUCUCCGACUUUUCCUUCUCUUCUCUAGUUCUCCCGUUCAGGAGUCUCUGACGUCUGCAGGAGGAACCAGUCGUCCGCGGGCCGCGUCCAUGGGCCACUUCAGCCUUCGAGGUCAGCCGGCUGCUCCGCCUUCGCCCUUCAGCUCAAGAUUCAAGUUUAGAGGGCGUCCCUCGAUCUUCCUCUCCGGUUCUCUUCGACGGAACCGACAGUCCGGCGGCGAGUGGGUCUUUGCUCCUCCGGUUGAUUCCGUGAAUUGAGGUAGGCUUAAAUCUCCUUGGUCUUGUAGAAGGAGAAAACGUGCUCUUUCACGUCAACAAUGGGAUAGUUUUUACUCUUCCGAUGGAAAACUUCUUGAUGGUGGAGUUAAGCUAUUAAAGAAAGUUCGCAGUGGGGUACGGAGUUUCUCUCGUUUCUUAAGGGCUGAACAAACAUGUUAAUAGCAGGAAGAUUAUGUCAUGGAAGAUUAUGUUAUGUCAUGGAAUCUUAGAA